rnacentral:rRNA from 1 species
GCCCAGACUCCUACGGGAGGCAGCAGUGGGGGAUAUUGCACAAUGGGGGGAACCCUGAUGCAGCGACGCCGCGUGGGUGAAGGAGCGUUUCGGCGCGUAAAGCCCUAUCGGCAGGGAAGAAGGAGGACGGUACCUGACUAAGAAGCCCCGGCUAACUACGUGCCAGCAGCCGCGGGAAUACGUAGGUGGCAAACGUUGUCCGGAUUUACUGGGUGUAAAGGGCGUGUAGCCGGGUUGACAAGUCAGAUGUGAAAUCCUGCGGCUUAACCGCAGAACUGCAUUUGAAACUGUUGAUCUUGAGUACUGGAGAGGCAGACGGAAUUCCUAGUGUAGCGGUGAAAUGCGUAGAUAUUAGGAGGAACACCGGUGGCGAAGGCGGCCUGCUGGACUGUGACUGACGUUGAGGCCCGAAGGCGUGGGGAGCAAACAGGAUUAGAUACCCCUGUA